GUUAUUUUGGCAGAUUAGUGCACCGAAUUUAGAAUUCGCCUAAGUAUAUAAUACAUAUAACA
rnacentral:tRNA from 1 species